UAAAAGGUUGCGCGGCCAU
rnacentral:misc_RNA from 1 species